CCUUCCUGCUCAUCUUCUGAGGAGGACUCUGAGGCAAUAGGAAACAUCUGAAAAAUACUGAGAGAAAGAAAAAGCAGCAUCUUUGGAAAGAAGAUCUAACGCUGACAGUGCGAGAGUCACAUGCCAAAGAGUG